UAAAACUUGCCGUUCCCUUGGAAUCCGAUGAGCGCUGCAUUGUAUCUACUCAUAUUUGAUUUGCCGUGUUCGAUACACUGUACUUGCCGUACCCUUGCAAUCCGAUGAGCGCUGCAUAAUACUUUCUUUGAUUAUCCGAUACACUGGUAAGUUUGUAAACUUUAUUAAAACAUAAUUUAUUACAUUUUAAUCUUAAAUCACAUUUAACGUGAGUAUUGUAAUAAUUCAAAAUUAACGCUUGCCGUCGGAUCUUUUGGUAAAUUUUCUUUUUGUAACACCCUGUAUAUUUGUUUCCGUUUUCAAUCAAAUAGAAAAUGAGCUAUUUCCUAAUCCCGAUAGUAC